CCUACGGGAGGCAGCAGUGAGGAAUAUUGGACAAUGGGCGCAAGCCUGAUCCAGCCAUGCCGCGUGCAGGAUGACGGUCCUAUGGAUUGUAAACUGCUUUUAUACGAGAAGAAACACCCCUACGUGUAGGGACUUGACAGUAUCGUAAGAAUAAGGAUCGGCUAACUCCGUGCCAGCAGCCGCGGUAAUACGGAGGAUCCAAGCGUUAUCCGGAAUCAUUGGGUUUAAAGGGUCCGUAGGCGGUUUAGUAAGUCAGUGGUGAAAUCUCCCCGCUCAACGGGGAAACGGCCAUUGAUACUGCUAGACUUGAAUUAUUAGGAAGUAACUAGAAUAUGUAGUGUAGCGGUGAAAUGCUUAGAGAUUACAUGGAAUACCAAUUGCGAAGGCAGGUUACUACUAAUGGAUUGACGCUGAUGGACGAAAAGCGUGGGUAGCGAACAGGGAUUAGAUACCCUGGUAGUCCACGCCGUAAACGAUGGAUACUAGCUNUUGGGUGCAAACUCAGUGGCUAAGCGAAAAGUGAUAAGUAUCCACCUGGGGAGACGUUCGCAAGAAUGAAACUUAAAGGAAAUUGACGG
rnacentral:rRNA from 1 species